GAGGAAUAUUGGUCAAUGGGCGCAAGCCUGAACCAGCCAUCCCGCGUGAAGGAAGAAGGCGCUAUGCGUUGUAAACUUCUUUUCCAGGGGGAGAAUUUUUCCGUCGUGACGGGAAUUGACGGUACUCUGGGAAUAAGCAUCGGCUAACUCCGUGCCAGCAGCCGCGGUAAUACGGAGGAUGCGAGCGUUAUCCGGAUUUAUUGGGUUUAAAGGGUGCGUAGGCGGAUCAAUAAGUCAGUGGUGAAAUUCUGCAGCUUAACUGUAGACUUGCCAUUGAUACUGUUGGUCUUGAGUAUGGUCAAGGUAGGCGGAAUGUGUAAUGUAGCGGUGAAAUGCUUAGAUAUUACACAGAACACCGAUUGCGAAGGCAGCUUGCUGGGCCAAUACUGACGCUGAUGCACGAAAGCGUGGGGAUCGAAC
rnacentral:rRNA from 1 species